CAGUCGCCGCGGGAAUACGAAGGGGGCUAGCGUUGUUCGGAAUUACUGGGCGUAAAGCGUACGUAGGCGGAUUGUUAAGUGAGGGGUGAAAUCCCGAGGCUCAACCUCGGAACUGCCUUUCAUACUGGCAAUCUUGAGUCCGGGAGAGGUGAGUGGAACUCCUAGUGUAGAGGUGAAAUUCGUAGAUAUUAGGAAGAACACCAGUGGCGAAGGCGGCUCACUGGCCCGGAACUGACGCUGAGGCACGAAAGCGUGGGGAGCAAACAGGAUUAGAUACCCCCGUAGUCCCUGUCUCUUAUAC
rnacentral:rRNA from 1 species